rnacentral:rRNA from 1 species
UACGUAGGGGGCAAGCAUUGUCCGGAAUCAUUGGGCGUAAAGAGCGUGUAGGCGGCUCGGUAAGUCCGCUGUGAAAGUCCAGGGCUCAACCCUGGAAUGCCGGUGGAAACUGUCGAGCUAGAGUCCGGAAGAGGCGAGUGGAAUUCCUGGUGUAGCGGUGAAAUGCGCAGAUAUCAGGAAGAACACCCGUGGCUAAGGCGGCUCUCUAGUACGGUACUGACGCUGAGACGCGAAAGCGUGGGGAGCGAACAGG